rnacentral:rRNA from 5 species
ACCUGCCCACUGAUUAAUUAAAUGGCCGCAGUAAUUUGACUGUGCAAAGGUAGCAUAAUCAUUAGUUUUUUAAUUGAAAGCUUGUAUGAAUGGUUGCACGAGAUAAAAUCUGUCUCUAUUUAAAUUAUUAUAGAAUUUUAUUUUUAAGUUAAAAAGCUUAAAUAUAUAUAAAAGACGAGAAGACCCUAUAGAUCUUUAUAUUUUUUUAUAUAAUUUUAUUAAAGAAUUUUAUAAUUUUUAUAUAUUUAAAUAUUUUAUUGGGGUAAUAAAAAGAUUUAUUAAAUUCUUUUUUUUAUUUGAUAUAGAUUAAUAGAUAUUUGAUCCAAUAUAUUUUGAUUAUAAGAUUAAGUUACCUUAGGGAUAACAGCGUAAUUUUUUUUGAGAGUUCAUAUCGAUAAGAAAGUUUGCGACCUCGAUGUUGGAUUAAAAAUUAUUUUAGGUGUAGAAGUCUAAAAAUUUGGUCUGUUCGACCAUUAAAUUUU